CUAUUACAGGCGACAACAGUACACGGUCGUUCAAGAUUUCGUUGGAGCCAAUUUUGAUAGGAACAGGAGCAUUUGCUGUUCUCUGUAUUUUCGUUGCGUCAGCAAGGACACUGGUACAGUGGCAUAAAGGAAGAAGCAGAACCAUGGUUCCGGACAAUACAGAAGUCACAUUAUCAGCGAUCGAAGCUUCUCCCUCGCUUGAUACAAAUGAGUAUGUGGAAAUGCCUGCUACAUCAAUGCUUAUGAAUGCUUCUCACGAUUUGGAAGACGAUCAUUCGAAAUGAGGACACAAGAAGACUCAAUGAUGGCCCGGAAGCCAAUCACAGCUAUAAAGUUAGCGCAUGUGGGAAGCAGUCUGAUUUACGCGGGUCUGGACAUUGACCAUCUACACCAAGCCUAUGUUGGUCCGAUACCUGGCCCGAGACCAACCAUAGGAAAAGAAGCACCGUUGUAUGAACAUAUUGACUUUUCUAGCAAAAAAACAGUGCGUCUUCAUUAUUUAUAAUAAAAUACGCGUAGAUUGUGUAAUGACAAAAAAGGAUGACAACAUUGCUUAUGUGUCGAACUCGUAUAGACUGUGUGAUGAUUGCUGCAAACCAGGAUGUUCUUUUGCUUAUGUAAAACGCGUAAAUUAUGUAAUGACUGUUGAUAACAAGAUGACCAUAUAGCUGACAUGUAAAGAGCGUAGAAUGUUUAAUAUAUGUUGUAAAACAGGAUGACUACACUGCUUAUAUGUAAAUAGCGUAAGACUGUUGCAAAACAUGGUGUUCGAGCCUAUGUGUGAAACACGUAGACUGUGUAAUGUUUUGAGCAAAACAGAACGGCCAAAUUUCUUAAAUGUGCAACGCGUAGACUGUUUAAUUACUAUUUCGACACAGGAUGACAACAUUGCUUGGACGUGAACGCGUUUACUAUGUAAUGCUUUUAGCAAACAUGAUGACUAGAUAGCUGAUAUGUAAAUAGCCUUGAUUGUGUUAUAACUGUUGCAAAACAGGAUGUCUACAUAGCUUAUAUGUGAAACGCAUAGACAGUGUAAUGUUUUGUGCAAAACUGGAUGACCAAAUUGCUAAUAUGUGAAACGCGUAGGAUGUGUAAUGGCUAUUUCUAGAAGGUUGACAACAAUGCUCAUACGUGAACGCGUAGGCUGUGAAAUGAUUGUUGCAAAGCAGGAUGACUUCAUUACUUAUAUGUUAAUAGUGUAUACUGUGUAAUGGCUGUUGCGAAACAGAAUGACAACACUGAUUAUACGU